AUGGGCAUUGCCCAUGCCAUACCUCUAAUCUUCUGCAACUCUCUCUCUCUUUUGUCUCUUCUUCUCCACCAAUCCUCGAACUUUAGACCUAGCGCGGUUGGCCUCACAAGCCAAUUCCUAAGCCAAAAGGCCACAAGAGGUCCGCUUACUCUCUCUCUCUCUCGGUUCGGCACUCUGCAGAUAUUUGUUUAAAGUUCGUCUCUCUUCUCGAUUCUGAGAUGUACAACGGAAUUGGAUUACAGACCCCUAGGGGUUCGGGUACCAAUGGGUAUAUACAGAGCAACAAGUUCUUCCUAAGGCCUAAAAGUGGGAAGGUCGUGGUUGACAACGCGGGGAAGGGGUUUGGGGAAAAUCAGGGAAUGGCAGGUGUCACCAAGAAACCCAACAAGGACAUACUCGAGCAUGACCGCAAGCGGCAGAUUGAGCUCAAGCUUGCGAUCCUUGAGGACACGCUCAUCAAUCAGGGAUACACUGAGGCUGAGAUUGAAGAUAAACUCAAGGAUGCAAGGAAUAAUUUGGAAGCUGCAGCCUCCGCAGAGGAGGUCACUGGUGGAGCCAUCACAGGUGCAGACAAGGUUUCAGAUACACAAACCCACCAGAUUGCUGCUCGGAAGGAGAAGCAGAUGGAAACACUAAGAGCUGCUCUCGGGAUAAGCACGUCUGAGUUUGACAAUCAAAAGAAGCAAAACAUUGAUUCAAAUUCUGAUGAGAGCAAUGAUGAUGAUGAUGAUGAUAGACCGGUAAAUAAACUGAAAGAAGGCCUUAAUGAGGAUGGUAAACAGCAUGGGAAAGAUCCUAAAAAUGGAAAUGAUGAUGUUAGAAUGGGUGCUAAAAGUAGGAAGAAUGAAGGUGGAGAGGAGCUUCUUGGUUCAAGAAGCCACAAGAAGCAAGAAAGCAAAAGAAGAAAGCAUGGGGAUGAUUCUUCUGAUGCAGGUAGUAGCGGGGAGCAUGUGAAGAGGACCAAGAAGAAGCAUCGGAAAAGUAAUCGGGGCAGUGAUUCUGAAAGUGAUUCUGACAAUGAUGUUGGGAAGAAGAAGCAAAAAUCAAGGGAACACAAGAAAAGCAGGAGACAUGACAUUGAUGAUUCUGAUUCUGAUCCUCAUAAUGGUGAGAAAUAUCAAAAAGCUCGUAGGGUGCAUGACUUUCAUGAUGAUGAUUCUAGUUCUGAUGAAGGCCCUGACUAUAAAACUCAAAAGGGGAAGCAUCGCUUGAAAUCGAGUAGGCGACAUGAUUCCGAUUCUGAUGACGAUGAAAAGUAUGAAGUCUCUCGUAAGAGGCAUGACCUAGAUGAUUAUGGUUCUAGUUUUAAAGAUGGCCACAACCAUGAAAGUGAAAAAGGAAAGCGGCGACAUGAUUCUGAGGAUGAUACUGAUACUGAUAGUGGUGAGAAAAAUAAAAGAAAUCAUUCAAAGAAGAAUCAACAGAGUGGAAAUCGCAGGAUAGAGAGAGAUGAUUUUGUUCCUGAUGGUCCCCAAAAAAUAAGCAAUGAGAGACGUGGGAGAAGUGACAGAAGGUAUGAUCCUGAGUAUGCUACUGAUUCUGAUAGUGGUGAGAAAAAUAAAAGAACUCAUACAAAGAAGAAUCAACAGUGUGGAAAUCGCAGGAUAGAGAAAGAUGAUUUUGUUCCUGAUGGUCCCCUGAAAAUAAGCAAUGAGAGACACGGGAGAAGUGACAGAAGGUAUGAUCCUGAGGAUGAUACUGAUUCGGAUAGUGGUGAGAAAAAUAGAAGAAUUCAUACAAAGAAGAAUCAACAGAGUGGAAAUCGCAGGAUAGAGAAAGAUGAUUUUGUUCCUGAUGGUCCCCUGAAAAUAAGCAAUGAGAGACAUGGGAGAAGUGACAGAAGGUAUGAUGUGGAAAGUGAUUCUGACUCUGACGGAGGAAGAGAACACAGAAAGAAGGAAGUGGAAAAGAAAAGUAGCAGGCGACGGCAUGAUAUUGAUGAGGAUGAUGUUGAUAUUGGUUAUGGUGAAAAAGUAGAGAAGAAUCAGAGAAGUUGGAGGUAUAAUUCGGAUGGGGAUGGCUAUGGUGAUUCUCAUAGGAGAAGCAGCAACGGUAACUCAGGCAGUGACGCUGAUUACAAACGCGAGAAAAUUGACAAGAUUAAAUACUUUGAGAAGAACCGAGGUGAUCGUGGAGACAAUUUGAGUAGCAGAGGUGGGCAAAGUGGACGUAAAUCUAGUCUAGAGGAGAAAGGAUUAAGAUCUAGUGCAGUUGGAAAUGAUGAUAGGAGAAAAGAAAAAAGUGGUCUUCAUAAUAGUGAUGUUGGGUUGGAUACAUUCAGGAAAUUAGAGGAGAUGUACCAGUCAAAGAGAGAUACUGUGGAUAAAUCCGGUUACGAAGAUGGAGAGAUGAUUAGGAGUAAGAAGAAGGUUGAUUCUGAAAAUGAAGAUGAGCAGCCUAAAGCAAAGUCGAGAAGCCGUAAUGCAGGGAAAGAAAUAGAGCACAAUGGCGAACAGCAGAUGAUUACUAAAACCAGACCUGAAACAAAUAGUAGAUCACACAGGAACAAGGAUGAACAGAGAAGAGAUGAUAAGUCAGCGCGUGGAGGAGCAUUUGAGGAUGAUAAGUCAGCGCGCGGAGGAGGUUUUGAGGAUGAUAAGUCAGCGCGUGGAGGCAGAAGUCACAGUGGGGGUGAACUGCAUCGUGAAAAUAGAAGUGAUCGGGAUUACAAGGAUCGUGGAGGCAGAAGACACACCAGGGAUGACGAGGAGUAUGGGGGAAGAAAGCACGCAAGAGAUGAAGAGGAUAUAUAUGGAAGGCAUGGAAAAGAUGAGAACUAUCGGCACCAUGGGAGUAGAAGGCGUGGAAGAGAGGAGGAAGAAGAUCGUGAAAGUGGAAGAGAAAAGAGGGACAGGCAAGUGAAUUCCUCCAAGAGAGUCAAAUAUGAUGAUUCUCGGUCAAAUGAAAGGAGGAGGUACGAUAAUGAGAAGAGUGAUGAUGGACGAACCAGGCAUUGAGACGGAACUGCUUGGAGCCAACAAUAUAGGUGGUGAGUUUAGACUCUACAUAUAGCUUAAAAUUUCUUCUGUUACAUUAAAAGCUGACUGCUCUGGCAAGUUCGAGUGUAAUCCUGGGAGAUACAGGGGUUGAAUAAAGGCAGAAGACGGUCAGAUGAGAUGUAUUAGAUUAUGCUAUCUGUAUGGGAGUGUGUAAAAACCCUCUUUCACAUAGACCAGUUUGUUUAAGACUGGUUACAAUGGAUUUAUGCAAUGCUUUGUGUGAUGGAUUGAUUGUAUACCAUCGUGAGCUUGUUUUCUUUCUUUAUUGCAGAGCCCAUUUUACUUUAGUGAAUUAAAGUUGAUUCUCCUGCUUCAUUAUAGAAUCUGGGACACGUUUUUUU